UGGCGAUCAUUAUAUAUUCUCAGAUCACAAUAAGAUUUUAUUACUAGAUCACAUCACUUGUCCAUUGUUUGACAUGAUGGUUUAUUGCGACGCUACCAACAGACGAGGCAAUAACAAUGCCAAUAGUAUGGGACAACAUUGGCACACCAAAACUUUCUAAGUUCAGGUCCAAACAAAUCCUUGCAGGCCACCUGGCAAGUUGACACAUCGCACUCACGUCCGUAAGCAGCAACCAUCUCCUUACAUUCCUCUGUAGAAAAAAUCACAGACCUUUACAAGAAGUCCAAAUUGGGAUAAUUAUCAAGAUAUUCAUGAUGUUUAAGUGAAAGUAUUAUCCUACAAUGGUUGACAGAAGAAAGGAAACAUAUAUAGGGAUAGAGAGAUCAAUUUCUUACCAUCAUGAAAGGAAUUUCCUAGCUGCACAAGCACCAUAAGGCAAAGAAGAAUAGCUUUCCCCUCCAUAAGAGAAGACACAAAGUUCUUAAUUACUCUUGACUCGGUUUGGGCGUCCAGAAGCAAACACGAUUGUAUAUAUAUAUAUUUAUAUAGAGAAAGAGAGACUAAUAGCUAGAGAAUAUUGACUCC
rnacentral:lncRNA from 1 species